ACUCCUACGGGAGGCAGCAGUAAGGAAUAUUGGUCAAUGGGCGGAAGCCUGAACCAGCCAUGCCGCGUGCGGGAAGAAGGCCCUCUGGGUUGUAAACCGCUUUUGUCAGGGAAGAAUGGAGGGGAUUUAUCCUCUUAGGGACGGUACCUGAAGAAUAAGCACCGGCUAACUCCGUGCCAGCAGCCGCGGUAAUAC
rnacentral:rRNA from 1 species